CACUCCUGCGGGAGGCAGCAGUGGGGAAUUUUGGACAAUGGGCGAAAGCCUGAUCCAGCAAUGCCGCGUGAGUGAAGAAGGCCUUCGGGUUGUAAAGCUCUUUUGUCAGGGAAGAAACGGUGAAAGCUAAUAUCUUUUGCUAAUGACGGUACCUGAAGAAUAAGCACCGGCUAACUACGUGCCAGCAGCCGCGGUAAUACGUAGGGUGCAAGCGUUAAUCGGAAUUACUGGGCGUAAAGCGUGCGCAGGCGGUUUUGUAAGUCUGAUGUGAAAUCCCCGGGCUCAACCUGGGAAUUGCAUUGGAGACUGCAAGGCUAGAAUCUGGCAGAGGGGGGUAGAAUUCCACGUGUAGCAGUGAAAUGCGUAGAUAUGUGGAGGAACACCGAUGGCGAAGGCAGCCCCCUGGGUCAAGAUUGACGCUCAUGCACGAAAGCGUGGGGAGCAAACAGGAUUAGAUACCCUUGUAGUCCCAUG
rnacentral:rRNA from 1 species